GUGGGGAAUCUUAGACAAUGGGGGAAACCCUGAUCUAGCCAUGCCGCGUGAGCGAUGAAGGCCUUAGGGUUGUAAAAUCCUUUCACCGGUGAAGAUAAUGACUGUAGCCGGAGAAGAAGCCCCGGCUAACUCCGUGCCAGCAGCCGCGGUAAUACGGAGGGGGCUAGCGUUGUUCGGAAUUACUGGGCGUAAAGCGCGCGUAGGCGGACCAGAAAGUUGGAGGUGAAAUCCCAGGGCUCAACCUUGGAACUGCCUUCAAAACUCCUGGUCUGGAGUUCGAGAGAGGUGAGUGGAAUUCCGAGUGUAGAGGUGAAAUUCGUAGAUAUUCGGAGGAACACCAGUGGCGAAGGCGGCUCACUGGCUCGAUACUGACGCUGAGGUGCGAAAGCGUGGGGAGCAAACAGGAUUAGAAACCCGGGUAGUCC
rnacentral:rRNA from 1 species